rnacentral:tRNA from 1 species
AGAAUAGAAGCUACUGGAGCAUUUGAUUGUUACUCAAAUAUAGCACAAUACAAUUUGUGCCUUUUCUG